GUGCGGCUCGCGCACGUGCAGGCGUUUCGCGUCUAUGAGAAAUCGGAGUUCUGGAGCGACCUGCGGUUCUACGUGGGAUGGGUGAUCGGUUUGUUCGUCGCGCC
rnacentral:tRNA from 1 species